rnacentral:rRNA from 1 species
UACGGAGGGGACUAGCGUUGUUCGGAAUUACUGGGCGUAAAGCGCACGUAGGCGGUUUUGUAAGUCAGGGGUGAAAUCCCGGGGCUCAACCUCGGAACUGCCUUUGAUACUGCAAAUCUCGAGUCCGGAAGAGGUGAGUGGAAUUCCUAGUGUAGAGGUGAAAUGCGCAGAUAUCGGGAAGAACACCCGUGGCGAAGGCGGCUCUCUGGGACGGUACUGACGCUGAGACGCGAAAGCGUGGGGAGCGAACAGG